CCCUUAGAUGUCCUGGGCUGCACGCGCGCUACACUGAUGUGUCCAGUAAGCACCUAACCUAUUCCGAGAGGAGCGGGUAACCUUAGCAAAGCACAUCGUGAUGGGGAUAGAUUAUUGCAAUUAUUAGUCUUGAACGAGGAAUUCCUAGUAAGCACAAGUCAUCAGCUUGUGUUGAUUACGUCCCUGCCCUUUGUACACACCGUCCGUCGCUCCUACCGAUUGAAUGUUCCGGUGAGCUCUUCGGACUGCGCGGUCUGCAGUUUCUGCGUUCCGUGCGGAAAGUUGUGCAAACCUUAACAUUUAGAGGAAGGAGAAGUCGUAACA
rnacentral:rRNA from 1 species